GGAUAUGGCUUAGUGGUAGAGUACUUGCCUAGCAUGCAUGAAGCCCUGGGUUCAAUUCCUCAGUGCCA
rnacentral:tRNA from 1 species